UGGCUGAGCGGUAAAGCGCUUGGCUUCCGAACCGGAGGUUCCGGGUUCGAAUCCUGG
rnacentral:tRNA from 1 species